rnacentral:rRNA from 1 species
CAGGCCUAACACAUGCAAGUCGAAGGAGAAGCUCUUUUCGGAGAGUGGAGACUGGCGGACGGGUGAGUAACGCGUGGGAACAUGCCCAGAGGUACGGAAUAACAUAUGGAAACGUAUGCUAAUACCGUAUGAGCCCUUCGGGGGAAAGAUUUAUCGCCUUUGGAUUGGCCCGCGUUAGAUUAGGUAGUUGGUGAGGUAAAGGCUCACCAAGCCUACGAUCUAUAGCUGUUCUGAGAGGAAGAUCAGCCACACUGGGACUGAGACACGGCCCAGACUCCUACGGGAGGCAGCAGUGGGGAAUCUUGCACAAUGGGCGCAAGCCUGAUGCAGCCAUGCCGCGUGAGUGAUGAAGGCCCUAGGGUUGUAAAACUCUUUCAGCAGGGAAGAUAAUGACGGUACCUGCA